rnacentral:rRNA from 1 species
UUUAAAUAGCUGCAGUAUUUUAACUGUACAAAGGUAGCAUAGUAAAUAGUCUUUUAAUUGAGGUCUGGAAUGAACGGUUUUACAAGAAAACCACUUUAUUUAAUUGAUUGGGUUGAAUUUAAUUUUUUAGUUAAAAAGCUAAAAUUUUUAAAUGGGACGAUAAGACCCUAUAGAUCUUUAAAUUUUUAAGAUUAAAUACAUUUUAGGUUAUAUAGGGUUUUUAAUAAAAAUUUUUUGUUGGGGUGACAAAUAAAAUUUUAAUACUUUAUUUCUUAAAUACAUAAAUUUAUGAAUAAAAAUGAUCCUAAAUUUUGGAAUACAAAAAUAAGAUACCUUAGGGAUAACAGCGUAAUAAAUUUGUACAGUUCAUAUAAAUAAAUUUGUUUACGACCUCGAUGUUGAAUUAAUUAAAAUUCUUGGAGCAGAAGUUAAGAUUUUAGGUCUGUUCGACCUUUAAAAUAUUACA